UCCUAUCUGCACCGUGGUUACCAUAACAGUAAAUAAUACACAGAGCUGUGUGAGGACGAAUGUCUUUAUAUACAUGAAACUCCUGGAACAGGAUCUGCUCACGAUGAUAUCGUGAUACAGUACAACUAAGCUCCAGUGGUGGCAGGGACCAUAGCUGCCAUAACUAUUAUAUUCCAGGUGCCUAACAGACAUUAAUUUAAAACAAUCUCACCUAUCUACAGUCAACCUGUUUAAAGGAGAUGAAUCACCUCCCAAUGCCAUUCUUCAAUUAGCUUUGGAUAUAACCAAGUCUGAUGAAGAUGCAAAAUCUGAAAACAUACCAAAAUAUAUCACUGUUUUAAUGAAGAAGUCAGCAUCUUCUAAUGGUAGAUAUCUACGUAUCUCUGGAUGGCAAAGACACAUUAAACUGUAAGAACUUAAAGAGUCUUUGUGAUCAGGGCAUUAUACCAAAAAGAGACGAAGUAAGAGAGGAUGAGACCAUGAGAUGAACUGGUAGAAGACAACUUGAUAGCAGGGACUAGUGAUGCUAACUCUGGAGACUGGCGGUCAACCUCAGUCACUUCGCUUUUAGACUGAAGAUACCAUCUCCACAUGUAGUAAACUUAUUGGUGAAAAUAGAACAUAAAUCAUCUUUAAAAUGGUAAAUCAAAAUCUGAGAUAUAAUCUUACAUGUUUUUGCUUGUCUCAAAUAAUAAACAGGUUAUCUGAAAAGUCAUUCUAGCCUAAAU